AUUGAACGCUGGCGGCGUGCCUAACACAUGCAAGUCGAGCGGUAACGCGGGGGUAACCCUGGCGACGAGCGGCGGACGGGUGAGUAACGCUUAGGAAUCUUCCCAGUAGUGGGGGAACAACCCGGGGGAAACUCGGGCUAAUACCGCAUACGCCCUUCGGGGGAAGGCGGAGGACCGUAAGGCCUCGCGCUAUUGGAUGAGCCUAAGUCGGAUUAGCUAGUUGGUAGGGUAACGGCCUACCAAGGCGACGAUCGGUAGCUGGCUGAGAGGACGACCAGCCACACUGGGACUGAGACACGGCCCAGACUCCUACGGGAGGCAGCAGUAGGGAAUAUUGGUUCAUGGAUGGAAGUCUGAACCAGCCAUGCCGCGUGCAGG
rnacentral:rRNA from 1 species